CCUACGGGCGGCUGCAGUGGGGAAUAUUGGGCAAUGGGGGGAACCCUGACCCAGCGACGCCGCGUGAGGGAAGACGGCCUUCGGGUUGUAAACCUCUUUUGUACGGGAAGAAGGACGUGACGGUACCGUACGAAUAAGUCCCGGCUAACUACGUGCCAGCAGCCGCGGUAAUACGUAGGGGACGAGCGUUGUCCGGAAUUACUGGGCGUAAAGGGCGCGCAGGCGGUAUAUCAAGUCAGCUGUCAAAGACUGGGGCUCAACCCUGGUAUGCGGUUGAAACUGAUAUGCUGGAGUGCUGUAGAGGCAAGUGGAAUUCCCAGUGUAGCGGUGAAAUGCGUAGAUAUUGGGAAGAACACCGGUGGCGAAGGCGACUUGCUGGGCAGCAACUGACGCUGAGGCGCGAAAGCCAGGGGAGCAAACGGGCUUAGAUACCCCGGUAGUC
rnacentral:rRNA from 1 species